CCUACGGGAGGCAGCAGUGAGGAAUAUUGGUCAAUGGGCGGGAGCCUGAACCAGCCAAGUCGCGUGAGGGAAGACGGUCCUAUGGAUUGUAAACCUCUUUAGGCGGGGAGCAAUGCCGGGCACGCGUGCCCGGAGGGAGAGUACCCGCAGAAUAAGCAUCGGCUAACUCCGUGCCAGCAGCCGCGGUAAUACGGAGGAUGCGAGCGUUAUCCGGAUUUAGUGGGUUUAAAGGGUGCGUAGGCGGAUUUUUAAGUCAGCGGUAAAAUGUCCGGGCUCAACCCGGGCCGGCCGUUGAAACUGGGGAUCUUGAGUGGGCGAGAAGUAUGCGGAAUGCGUGGUGUAGCGGUGAAAUGCAUAGAUAUCACGCAGAACUCCGAUUGAGAAGGCAGCAUACCGGCGCCCGACUGACGCUGAGGCACGAAAGCGUGGGGAUCGAACAGGAUUAGAUACCCCAGUAGUC
rnacentral:rRNA from 1 species